GACUCCAAGGCCCAAUAGAUAAGGUGUUGGUUUACGAAACCAGAGAUUUUGGGUUCGAUCCCCAGUGGAGUCG
rfam:Ipomoea nil DNA, scaffold: scaffold0114, cultivar: Tokyo-kokei standard.